rnacentral:rRNA from 1 species
CCUACGGGAGGCUGCAGUGAGGAAUAUUGGUCAAUGGACGAGAGUCUGAACCAGCCAAGUAGCGUGAAGGAUGACUGCCCUAUGGGUUGUAAACUUCUUUUAUAUGGGAAUAAAAUGUUCCACGUGUGGGAUUUUGUAUGUACCAUAUGAAUAAGGAUCGGCUAACUCCGUGCCAGCAGCCGCGGUAAUACGGAGGAUCCGAGCGUUAUCCGGAUUUAUUGGGUUUAAAGGGAGCGUAGGUGGAUUGUUAAGUCAGUUGUGAAAGUUUGCGGCUCAACCGUAAAAGUGCAGUUGAAACUGGCAGUCUUGAGUACAGUAGAGGUGGGCGGAAUUCGUGGUGUAGCGGUGAAAUGCUUAGAUAUCGCGAAGAACUCCGAUUGCGAAGGCAGUUCACUGGACUGCAACUGACACUGAGGCUCGAAAGUGUGGGUAUCAAACAGGAUUAGAUACCCGGGUAGUC